ensembl:lncRNA novel transcript
GUCCAGAUAAAAUAUUGUAUCCCAGCUGAUGAGGCCGGCACAUGAUGACAACACUACAAGCACCAAGAAAAUUGAUGCGAUGGCCUGUCUUAAGUUGGCUUCCUCUAUUGGUCUUUUAUCUGACAAGACACCUUUGGCAAAGUCUCAUCAAUAUGCUACUUUUCAUCUGCCUGACACUGAAAUCAAUGGACUGCAGAAGAAGCCUCUCGAUCAGCAUUGUCAGAAAUGAUCACCAUGCUGGACGGAGCAUGCUACCUGAUUUCUCCUGACUGAACUCCCACAAAAGCAUGGCUGCAAAUCCCAGAGAAAGAAGAAAGAGAACUUACAUAAAGGAGGCUUUCUGGAGAACUCGCUGUAAGAGGGUCAAUGCGGAAAUAUGGAAUGUGCUUAGGAGUCCACUGAAGCAGUCCAGAGGCCACUACCAGCUGUUAGAACAUCCAUCUCCAUCAUGAUCUGAGCAACUGAAAGGAGAGGCUCACCUAAGCUGCCUGAUUGAAGAGAAGAAAUCAGGAGAAGGUUGAAGCAGCAGCCAGGUGGGAGAAAAACCCAUCUUAGCACUGCUGGCAAACCUGGAAACACAGUGAUCCACCAGGUUCAUCGCUGGGUCAUUGGGCAAUCCCCUCUGCCCUGGCACCUUUCACUGCUCUCAUUCAAUCAAUGAACAUGACCAAGUAUCUAUUACACGCAUCAGGUCCCAUGCUAAUUGGGCGGUGGGAAGAGGAUAAGAUAUAAAAGACCCAGUUCUAUAAACUGUCAGCUUUCUGAGAGCUCCAUAUUCCCAGUAUCUAGAACAGUAGAUGGCACACCUUAGCCUCAAGUCAGUAUUUGCUGUUUCAAUUAAGUAACCCUAGUUACUGCCUGGGUAGAAUGGCUUGAUGCCCUGCUUGAGACCAGGAGUUACAGAUUUUAGUUAGAAAACAAGGCUCUUCUCUGCUCUAUUGCCAAUCAGGGGCGAGUUUGUAUCCUCAGAGGGCAGCAGCUGCAUUCCUAGUAUCAUCUUUGCCUCAUCCGCCACUCUGGCACUGCACAAACUGAGCCCCGUGAAGCGCCGCGUUCCCUCUCUCCCUGAAGCGACGCCCCCUUCCUUCUCAGAGGGCCCCCUGAGCUGCGUCCCUCUGCCCCAGAGCUGUGCCUGGCGUCUGGCUGUCAGGAGGCACCGCGGCCCCUCCCGGCAGCUCCCGGCCGUCCUGAGGCAGGCGCCGAGCGGGGUCAGCGGGGAGUCGGGGCUCCCUGGGCCUGUCACUCAGCAAGACUGAGCCAGGGCUCCCUGACAGCCCUCCAGACCCUAGGGGAUAACCGUGUCCGUGUCUGUCUGUGCAUCAGAUCAGAGGGAACGAAGCGCGCUCCCCCGCCUAAUUCCUCCCCUUCCCUGGAAUGUCCACGAGUUCCUGCUAAUGCUAUUGUUUGCUUUUGCUUAUGCACAUAUAAGUCUUUGGUACACACACACUGUUUUGUUGUGGUUUUUCUUUUCCUUUCUAAAGCUAAUAGUUUGUGGUGGGGUGAAGAUACGGCUUUGGGUGUGGAUUCAACUGGGAAAAAGAAAUGCAAGCAGGAUUUAGAAAAUAAUAAAACCACUUAAUACAUUUCCAGAACUGCAAUUAUUGCUAGUGAGAAAAUAUGGAUAGCAAUUAUUUUUAAGUUCAGUGAAUUGAAAAGAUUGGAACUAGAAUAGGAUUUAAGUAAAGAAGAAAUUCCUUCUCUAAACCAAUUUCUGGUUGCUCAAAAUUCCCAGGAUAAACUAAAGUAUGAAAAAAAUGAUGACUUCAUAUUAUCAAAAUAUACAUAGAUUUCUGAUUUGUUUUAAAUACAUUUUAUACUAGUAAAAUUCAUUGAUGGUAGAGAAUGUUUUCCAG